AGCAGUAGCCGCGGGAAUACGGAGGGAGCUAGCGUUGUUCGGAAUUACUGGGCGUAAAGCGCACGUAGGCGGUUAUUCAAGUCAGAGGUGAAAGCCCGGGGCUCAACCCCGGAACUGCCUUUGAAACUAGAUGACUGGAAUCUUGGAGAGGUCAGUGGAGUUCCGAGUGUAGAGGUGAAAUUCGUAGAUAUUCGGAAGAACACCAGUGGCGAAGGCGACUGACUGGACAAGUAUUGACGCUGAGGUGCGAAAGCGUGGGGAGCAAACAGGAUUAGAUACCCGCGUAGUCCCUGUCUCUUAUAC
rnacentral:rRNA from 1 species